CCGACGAUAGCUCAGCUGGUAGAGCGGAGGACUGUAGUGAAUCGCAGCUAUCCUUAGGUCGGUGGUUCGAAUCCGCCUCGUCGGA
rfam:Opisthorchis viverrini opera_v5_143.43, whole genome shotgun sequence.